AUGAAAGGGAUUUAGUAAGUAAAAAUUAAAAGAUAAAUUGCACGUUUGGUUCUUAUAAACUAUGAAAUAGGUGAUAUUUUAACGCUCAAAUUUUAAUUUAUUAUAAUUUCUUACUUAUACUUUAAGUUAAUUUGUGACUUUAUUAUAAUUUUAACUCUUGCACUUAGGGGCUGUUUGGUUGGAUGUAGUUGUAGAAACAGUGUAGUUGGAAAUAUAUGCAGUUGCAAAUGCUGCAGUUGUAAUUACACCUAGUCUGUUUGGUUUUACGCAGUUGCAACUGCUGCAGUUACAUUUCUUCUGUUUGGUAAUAUGAAGCUGAUAGUUGUAUUUAUGAAUUUUGUCACCUCUUCAGAUAGAGUGGUGAGAUUACCUUCACUAAACAUAAAAUAAUUGUAUAAAUUUAUUAAUUAUUUAAAUUUACUAUUUAUAAAUAAAUAAGUAGAUAUAUAUAAUAUUUUUAUAUUUUUCAAUAAUUCUUCAACUUAUUAAUCGACACAUUUAAAAUUUUUAAUUUAUUUAAUUUUAAUAUGUAAAUCAAACUUUAAAAAUUUAAACGAUUCUCUCAUUUUUUUUAUCAAAUUUAAUAAUUAUAAUUAAUUAAAACUUAUUAAAUUAACAUACACGAUCACAUUCUAUAAAAUUUUUUUAAAAAAACUAUAUUUAUAUUUUAAAUAAAAUAAAUUUAAAAAAUUUAAUUUUUUGCACAAAGCUUGUAUUGUCUAAAAAAUUUUAUUAGUAUGAGUUUAUUUACAAGUAUUUUUAUUUACCUAUAUACAUAUAUUAUUUAUUUAUUUAGCUAUUUAUUUAUUUAUUUAUUAUUGUUAUUUUGUGGGUGAUCCUAUCCCUCACCAACUGCUGCAGUUGGAACUACGGCCAAUUUGGAUGUAGUUCCAACUGCAGUAUUUGGACCUUCUUGUGUAGUUGGAACUGCAGCAGUUGAACUCAACUACACUAAACCAAACAAAGGAAUUGAGGCUGCACGCAUUUGCAACUGCACUACAGUUGCAAAUGCGUGCAACCAAACAGCUCCUUAGUAUUGUACAGAAAUCAUGUCCCAUCAUUUCCUUUACACAAAGUUCAGCUUUUCAUAUUUAUUCUUACAAAAGUUCUAAAGUUUUUAAAUAUACCACUAUUGUUAGUAUCCGUUAGAAAAAUAUAGUUAACCAUAGGUAAAAUAUUUAGUCAUGUUUAGUGAAUAAGAUAAAUUGACUUUUUUAUCUUUCUUAUAUUAUUUUUUAUGGUAGAAAGAAAGAAGAUGACCGUUAAAGAUUUUUGGGAGGACGUUUCUAUAUAAUUCUAACAGUUGAAAUUUUUGAAGGGAUAUAUUUAUAAUGGCGAAAAUAUUAUUUUACUUAUUUUCUGUUAAAAAAUAAACAGUAAUCUAACAAUAACAAAUCAAAUGGACAAAUCGACCGUUCCUAACGCAAGUGGCAAGGGACUUGAUGGUUGGUAUCCGAGAUCCCAGGUUCGAAUCCUAAUUGAUUCACAUUUUCAACUAAGUUUAUUUCUAAAAUAAAUAAAUGAAGUGGAUAAUAUAUUAUCUUUUUCUAAAAAAAAAAAAUCAGAGGGACAAAUAUAAAUAUCAUUGAACUUUAGUACGAAUAAAUAUAAAAAGUUGAACUUUGUAGGAAUAUGUAUGCUAUUCAAUAUAUUUAUAUAAAGUUACAUGAAAUUAAU
rnacentral:lncRNA from 1 species